GGCCUUCGGGUUGUAAACUGCUUUUUUCAGGGACGAAUUCUGACGGUACCUGAAGAAUAAGGGGUUCCUAACUCUGUGCCAGCAGGAGCGGUAAUACAGAGACCCCAAGCGUUAUCCGAAUUUACUGGGCGUAAAGCGUCCGUAGGUGGUUUUGUGCGUUAUCUGUCAAAUUCCAGGGCUUAACCCAGGAACUGCGGGUAAUACGGCAAGACUUGAGGCUGGGAGAGGCAAGCGGAACUGUCGGUGUAGUCGUAAUAAGCGCUGAUAUCGGCAGGAACACCAAAGGCGAAGGCAGCUUGCUGGAACAGUCCUGACACUCAGGGACGAAAGCGUGGGUAGCGAAUGAGAUUAGAUACCUCAGUAGUCCACGCCCUAAACGAUGCACACUAGGUAUCGGGAGUAUCGACCCUCUCGGUGCCGUUUAAAAGAGCUAACGCGUUAAGUGUGCCGCCUGGGGAGUACGAUCGCAAGAUUAAAACUCAAAGGAAUAGACGGGGGAUCGCACAAGCGGUGGAGCACGCGGUUCAAUUCGAUAACGAGCGGAGAACCUUACCGGGGCUCAAAUACUAGCUGCACAUCCUAUGAAAGUAGGACUUCUUCGAGAGUGCUAGAUAGGUGUUGCAUGGUUGCCGUCAGCUCGUGCAGUGAUGUGUACCCUUAAGUGGGGUAACGAGCGCAACCCUCGUGUUGUGUUAAAUCUACACAACAGACUGCCUACGUAAGUAGGAGGAAGGUGGGGACGACGUCAAAUCAGCAUGGCUCUUACGUCCCGGGCGACACGCAUGCUACAAUGGCCGGUACAAUGGGACGCCAAACCGUAAGGUGGAGCAAAUCCCAUCAAAACCGGUCUCAGUUCGGAUUGAGGUCUGCAACUCGACCUCAUGAAGCCGGAAUCGCUAGUAAACGCGCAUCAGCCACGGCGCGUUGAAUACGUUCUCGAUCCUUGUACUCGGGUGCUUGGCAGCCCCGAAAAAAAGCGGGUGCAAAUCCCGCCGCGUUCAGCACUUGA
rnacentral:ncRNA from 1 species